rnacentral:ribozyme from 1 species
CCCGCACCAGCGGCGGGUAAGGGGGGAGACGGCGGAAUUGAUCCGGCACCGCCUCACGGCCAUGAUGAAACUGAGGAGGUACGGCGACGUGAGCGGGGAGGUGGAACGGCUGAACCUCGGCGA